GAGAACCCGGGGUCGCUGUGAGCACCUGUGGGUGGGAAGGAAGCUGGCAGAGCGCUGAGUUUGCUUUUUCUGCAGGCUCGCGCUCUGAUCCGGCACAACGGGACCCCGCAGCUGCAGGAGCCCCGGCGCCUGUCGGCUCUGCUGCGGGACUUCCUCGAGUGCAGCCUGGAGCCGGACAAGGAGCAGCGCUGGUCUGCCCAGGAGCUGCUGCAGCACCCAUUUUUAUCAUCAGCCAAGCCUCUCUCCAGCCUGAACCCUCUGAUCACCACAGCAAAGCAACUGAGGGAGCAGCAGAGGAGAUGAAGCACUGGAGGACAGCUGUUAGUUAUAGUAGCUAGUUAGGACAACUAGUUGGUUAUGGUAGUUAGGACUGCUAGUUGGUUAUGGUAGUUAGGACAGCCUGUUUGUUAUGGUUCUUAUGACAGCCUGUUUGGUAUGGCAGUUUUUUGAAUAAAAACUCUCUUAAACCUCAA